ACUCUUCGCGUGCUAUAGUUUAGGACAAAAAUGGGACAUCGAUAAAACAAAUAGGCCUGCUCUAAGUUUUAUUUCUUUGACUAAAUUUCCAAUCAAGAAAUACCGUGUGAUCGUUGACUUGGUCCCGGAGUCGGAUGAGGGCGGUUGUAUAAAUCAACUUCACAAGUCGAUGAGAGAGGGAAGUGAAGUUGUUGUCGCCGUUUUUAUUGUGGAAGAAACGCCUCGUUGAACUUCACUUGACCGGAGGUUGGAAAGAGAAGGAAAAACUUCUCUCCCUGCAUGAAGAUUCGGAGUUCAGGCAGAGGAGGGCGCGCUCGUCACUCGCGCCUUGAUAAAAGCGAACUGCGAUCGUGCAGCAGAUCCAUCGGGAAGCAGGAUCUGCGGGGUAUAAUGGUCCCUCACUUCAAUUCACUCCACAGACCUGAUGACGAUCCGCCUCCGCUGAAGCUUAGGCAUCGACAGAUACCACAGUUCGAUAGAAAGGAAAACAGCUUUGUGUGAUGUGAUGUUUUGUUAUGUUUAACUUCAUAUAUGAUAAGAGCUAGAUUUUGUUGGGAGAACUUAACUCAUUGGAGGUAUUGUGGUGCUGCCGGUUGACCAGUGUAUCUCCCAGCGUGCCUAGCGCCCGCUAUUCAUCUAAAUAGUUGAAGCUAAUAUUUAAUGUUAUUUAUUAAUAUGAUCUCUCUGAAGUUGCUGGGAAUCAUCCACUCUAUCGAAUUGCAGUAUCGGGCGAUUCUUGAGUUAAAUACUUACCCUGCUCGAGAUUAUGGACUAAAUUGAUAACCUUGCGGUUCUCUCCCCAUGUAAUGCGUUUGUUCUAAUACACCUGCAUCUAUUGCUAUUUGCUUUUAUCAAAGCAAAAUUAAACUCAAUCUGAAUCAUAUCACAAUGUCUUUGUCUUGUGGUUUGUCAUGCUUACUCGCCAAAGUAUUGUGU